rnacentral:tRNA from 1 species
UAGAAAGUAGUAUAGUGGAAGUACGGGGGGUUUUGAGUUCCCUAGUGCAGGUUCAGAUCCUGUUUUUCUA